AGGGUUUGAUUAUGGCUCAGGACGAACGCUGGCGGCGUGCCUAACACAUGCAAGUCGAACGGAGAAUUUUAUUUCGGUAGAAUUCUUAGUGGCGAACGGGUGAGUAACGCGUAGGCAACCUACCCUUUAGAUGGGGACAACAUUCCGAAAGGAGUGCUAAUACCGGAUGUGAUCAUCUUGCCGCAUGGCAGGAUGAAGAAAGAUGGCCUCUACAAGUAAGCUAUCGCUAAAGGAUGGGCCUGCGUCUGAUUAGCUAGUUGGUAGUGUAACGGACUACCAAGGCGAUGAUCAGUAGCCGGUCUGAGAGGAUGAACGGCCACAUUGGGACUGAGACACGGCCCAA
rnacentral:rRNA from 1 species